CCUACGGGCGGCUGCAGUGGGGAAUAUUGCGCAAUGGAGGAAACUCUGACGCAGCAACGCCGCGUGAAGGAUGACGGCCCUUUGGGUUGUAAACUUCUGUAGCAGGGGAAUAGUACUCGAUUAUGUCGAGGGAGAAGGUACCCUGAAAGUAAGCCACGGCUAACUACGUGCCAGCAGCCGCGGUAAUACGUAGGUGGCAAGCGUUGUCCGGAUUUACUGGGUGUAAAGGGUGCGCAGGCGGAUUUGUAAGUCAGAAGUGAAAUCUCACGGCUCAACCGUGAAAUUGCUUUUGAUACUGCUUAUCUUGAGUUUGGAAGAGGUUGAUGGAAUUUGUGGUGUAGCAGUGAAAUGCGUAGAUAUCACAAAGAACACCAGUGGCGAAGGCGGUCAACUGGUCCAAAACUGACGCUCAUGCACGAAAGCGUGGGGAGCAAACAGGCUUAGAUACCCUUGUAGUC
rnacentral:rRNA from 1 species